UGUGUGUGUGUGGUGUUCAGCACCAGGGACAGGUGUGUUUACCUGUGUGUGGAUGGUAUUCAGCACCAAGGACA
rnacentral:pre_miRNA from 1 species